rnacentral:rRNA from 1 species
AUGGGAGGAGGAACAGACUGUAACCGAAUUCGGACAAGGAUAAAGGAUAUAGCAAUGAACCGCAGAUCUCAGCAUGCCGAGAGAAGCCGCCGAGGCUCAGGACCAAGAAAUGAUGAUGCUCCCGCGCUGCGCCUAACCCACCACCUGGCUUCUCAGAUCUCCCGUCGAUUUGCCCGCCUAAUAUACCUUGUAUAUACAAUUCAAUCAUGUACAAUGUUUCACGAAUCUCUGGAGGAACCCCUACUGAUUCAAGAAAUUCUUACAUUAGACACAAUUGCAGGAGCUACAAACUACCCAACAGAGAAAGAAAAGAAAAGGGGAACAUCUUUACCACUUGAAUAA